rnacentral:lncRNA from 12 species
CAAUGAGAAAAGUCACAAUGAAUUUGUAGCCAACUUUACCACCAAAAGUACCGAAUAAAGCAGGAUGUUUUAAGUAAAUGGUCAAUGCCAAGAGCAGGAGCAAAUGUCAGAGGAAGAGGCAGAGAAUGAGUAUAGAGGGCAUUGAUGUUCCUUGCCCAGUUGCACAUGGCCAGAAAGAAGAACCACCACCACCUAAGUAAUAUCCCUUCCCGAAGAGAUCACAGUCUAUGGUCACACAGCCAUGAAAAGCCUGCAACAAAGAAAUUCAACCUCUUUGGUUGCAGAUUGCUCUAGGCUCUUUCCUCCUGGCCUUGUGAGCAGAGCCUCACUUAGUGUUUGUGGCUGCCCAGUGGGCUCCACCUCCACGCUGCAGGAUGGCAACAAGGUUCAAGCCUCAUCUGGUACUUCCGAGCUCACAUCCUACCACUCUCUGCAGUGGCACCCCCCAGCUCUUCAAAGCGUGUGUAGGCCAGAGAAUUCCUGAUUACUCAUCCCCUCCUGUUUCAACUAACUAGAGGGAUUUCCAUUGUCUGCAUCGGCCCAGCCAGCGGCAGACCUCACGUGUUUGACACCCAAAGUGGACCAUUUUUUUAACGCUCUCCUCUAUGUGACAAAAUUGUAUUCAUUAGUAAUCCUGUAAUAAUCA